rnacentral:rRNA from 1 species
UACGUAGGGUGCGAGCGUUAAUCGGAAUUACUGGGCGUAAAGUGUGCGCAGGCGGCCGCGCAAGUCGAGUGUGAAAGCCCCGGGCUUAACUUGGGAAUUGCGCUCGAAACUACGUGGCUGGAGUGUGGCAGAGGAAGGUGGAAUUCCAGGCGUAGCGGUGAAAUGCGUAGAGAUCUGGAGGAACACCGAUGGCGAAGGCGGCCCUCUGGGCCAACACUGACGCUGAGGCACGAAAGCGUGGGGAGCAAACAGG